rnacentral:rRNA from 1 species
UACGUAGGGGGCAAGCGUUAUCCGGAUUUACUGGGUGUAAAGGGAGCGUAGACGGAUUUGCAAGUCUGAAGUGAAAGCCCGCAGCUCAACUGCGGAACUGCUUUGGAAACUGUUGGUCUGGAGUGCAGGAGAGGUAAGCGGAAUUCCUGGUGUAGCGGUGAAAUGCGUAGAUAUCAGGAGGAACACCGGCGGCGAAGGCGGCUUACUGGACUGUAACUGACGUUGAGGCUCGAAGGCGUGGGGAG